GACGAACGCUGGCGGCGUGCUUAACACAUGCAAGUCGAACGAAGUGGCGAACGGGUGAGUAACGCGUAAUCAACCUGCCCUUCAGAGGGGGACAACAGUUGGACACGACUGCUAAUACCGCAUACUGAAGGAGGGGAUUGAUUCUGAUAAGCUAUUUGGCGGGGUAACGGGCCACCAAGGCGAUGAUCAGUAGCCGGUCUGAGAGGAUGAACGGCCCCAUUGGGACUGGGACACGGCUCAGAGUCCUACGGGAUGCAGCAGUGGGGAAUCUGCCGCAAUGGACGUAAGUCUGACGAUGCAACGCCGCGUGGGUGAUGACGGCCCUCGGGUUGUAAAGCUCUGUUAAUCGGGACGCGGUACCGGAAUAGGAAGCUACGGCUAACUACGUGCCAGCAGCCGCGGUAAUUC
rnacentral:rRNA from 1 species